rnacentral:sRNA from 1 species
CUCCGUACGGGGAAGGAUGAGAAGCUUCGACUAAGGUUCGAUUCGAGCGAAAGCGAGAAAGCGUUGCCAACGGCAACGACCCGAAGGGCGAAGCGCGCAGCGCUGAGUAAUCCUUCCCCCGUCAUCC